rnacentral:rRNA from 1 species
UGGGAACGUGCCUUUUGGUUCGGAACAACCCAGGGAAACUUGGGCUAAUACCGGAUAAGCCCUUACGGGGAAAGAUUUAUCGCCAUUGGAUCGGCCCGCGUCUGAUUAGCUAGUUGGUGAGGUAACGGCUCACCAAGGCGACGAUCAGUAGCUGGUCUGAGAGGAUGAUCAGCCACACUGGGACUGAGACACGGCCCAGACUCCUACGGGAGGCAG